rnacentral:lncRNA from 1 species
UCCGAUGUUCCCCUCCUAAAUCCUUCUAUUUGUACUUUAUAUUCAUAUUUAAAUGCCUUCCCUUUCCUCUUUUUUAUCUCCUCUCCAACCAUUCCCCUAUUCAACUCCACAAAUACACUUUAACUUAGCUAUUUGACUUUUAUACAUAAGUUUUUGAGGUUUAAAAAACUGUACAAUAUUUGUAGUACCGUAAUGCACAUUUUUAUCAAAUAAUUAAACUUCAAAAUGAUCAAUUUCAUAGUUAAAACACUAAUUAAUGGAAUGAGGGAGAUUAGAAUUCCCAUAAAGGGGAAUGGCCUUAAACCAUUUUAUAUAUUGAUUUGGUGCUUGAUGACCAUCACAACCAUAUGGACUAAGUAGUUUGCCAAGUCUUUGAUUCACAGGUCCAUAAGAUCAAUCUCAGAGUUUCUAAGUCAGAAAUAGCUCAAAUCCAACCAAAAAUAGGUAAAACUUGGAAUAGGUGAACUAGCAAUAGUUCCAUACCUUGGAUAAGUUCUAAAUACCCCUAGGUGAAAGUCGCCUAGAGGGGGGUGAAUAGGCGAAACUGAAAUUUACAAACUUUAAGCACAACUACAAGACGGGGUUAGCGUUAGAAAUAAAACCGAGUCCGAAAGAGAGGGUGAAAACAAAUCAACCAAGAAAUAAAGCGAGUGACACGGUGAUUUGUUUUACCGAGGUUCGGUUCUUGCAAACUAGUCCCCGUUGAGGUGGUCACAAAGACCGGGUCUCUUUCAAUCCUUUCCCUCUCAAACGGUCACUUAGACCGAGUGAGCUUUCUUCUCAAUCAAACGGGUCACUUAGACCCCACAAGGACCACCACACAAUUGGUGUCUCUUGCUUUGAUUACAAGUGCUUUGAAGAACAAGAAUGGGGAAGAAGAAAGCGAUCCAAGAACAAGAGCUAAAAGAACACGAGCAAAAACUCUCUCUAGUCACUAUUUGUUUGGAGGGGAUUUGGGACUUGGAGAGGCUUUAAUUCCUUUGGAUUGUGUCUUGUAUUGAUUGCACUAGGUUUUGUAUUGAAUGUGAAGUCUGAAAAAACUUGGAUCCUUGAAGUGGUGGUGGUUUGGGGGUAUUUAUAGCCCCAACCACCAAACCAACCGUUGGGGAGGCUGUCUGUCGAUGGGCGCACCGGACAGUCAAGUGCGCCACCAAACAUUGUUCGGUGUGCCAGCCACGUCACCCAACCGUUAGGGUUCUGACGGUUUCGACCGUUGGAGCUCUGACAACUUGGGGCACCGGUGUAAUACUCAAAAUUGUAUACCAAGAAUAAUAGAGAGAUCUCCUCAUUUUACGUGUCCUAAUUGCAUCAUAAAAAGAGCAUACAUAAAGUUAAGAGUGAUUAAUUAAAACAAAUGACACUAAAAUAAAAGAAAGUGCAUCUUGUUGGAUUUUUAUAUGUCUGCAUUAAAUAGAAUAAUAAGGAUAACAACAAUGAGAUAACAAUUCUAGAAGUUGGAUUAAACCCUAAAUUGAAAUUUGGGUUUGAAAAUAAGAAAAGAGAAAUGAUAUAAAUAUAAAUGAUAUAAUUAUACACCUAAAAUUGGUAUUCUUAAUUUCAAAAAAAUAAAAGAAAAUAGAUUUGGCACAAAAUUUGAAUUUAAAUUUGAAUUCAAACUAAACCUAGGAAUGAAGGAAAAUAAAAAGAAAAUAGAAAGAAAAAAAAGAGAAAAGAAUAAAAGCUUCGCGGGCCGCCUGCCUCACUUUUGGCCCAUUUAAAACUUGCUCUCCCGCGCCUCGGCCCAUCGCCUUGCGCGCGCCGCGACGUGAGCCGGCUGAACGUGCGACUGGCACUGACGAGAUGGGCCCGCCUAGCAGCCACAUAGUCACGUAGCCGCGAUAGUUUAUGGUUUUUCAGCCAGCUAAUGACGUUGUGAUGUCAGGGGUGACAUCACCAGCGUAUCCUCCACUGUCGCUGUCAGCUGGGACCACUACGUAUUCUUCUAUGGUCUGCGGUUAGCUCCGAGCGAUGCGGACGCGGAUCGAUCGACAGUCGUGAUCUGCGGCAUUACCCCCCUGCCCGCCCAUAAACCUGUUGUCCCCUGCAGUAUUCGCCGUCUCGGUCGACCAGGAAGAUAGCCUGGAGGGAGCGCCAUAGGCACGCAGCCACCGAGAGGAAAAAUACAGCGGGGUGGUGUAGCUUCGGCGCGGAAGUUCAUCGGGGCUUUCAGCGUCGUUCCCGUGGUGUCCUCGUCCGGGUUCGGUGGGCGGAGAACCGGCGAUUUCUCGCCGUUGCCAGUGCUUCGUCGCACAUCCGCCUUCGGCUUUGGUCGAUCGACUGCGCUUCAUCAUUCUGGGUUAGUAACCCUCUUUAAGUUCACUCUUGUCCCCGCUACGUUUAGAGCCCAUUAUCUUAGGAGUUCGUGCAUUGGAGGCUUGGAUUGAGGUCCGUGCCGAUGGUGCGCCGCCACGUGGGCGAGCUGCGCUGCGCAUGGCCGUCGGUUUGAAUGACGGGAGGAAGAAGAUGGGGCCGCGUCCGUAGAUUUGGGAUUGGACGGCCCUGAUUAGAUCCUGGGAUAACUCUUCGUAGUGAUUUAAUCCAAGCCAUCUGUAGGGAAUCGUGUGGAUCUGGGGGUUGAUAGCGUUUCGGCCGUUGGAUCGUGAUCCCGCGAUCUGUAUUACAUACCGGUCCGGUUAAGUAAUCGGUUGAUCUGGACCCUCAGAUUCUAAUCGUGCGGCCCAUAUAUAACCAUACCCCUUCGCUGAGGCCGUUUUACAAAAGAGACCCCAUGGAUAGACAUAAUAAACCCGCCAUCCACGCGGGGUGAAUGAGUCUGGGGAAAACUUCUGGAUUUGCCCCAGAGUUCUCUGUAAUUAGUGUUCGGUCCAGAGAAUAAUGAAAAUGGAUAAUUAAUUACAGAAAUUGAUUUUUAAUACAAAAGUAAUUCUAGAAACUUGUUUAAUUCAUAUUUAAUUCAUUCUAACUCCAAAUUGAUCCAUUCUGGUUGCAAUAAUUUUGUAUUAAUAUUUUCUAUCAACUAGUAACACUUUUUAACCAUGUAACUUGGAAUAAAAUUGUUCACUUGAGUUAAUCUAUUCUAGGUACUAAAUAACUUCAGAAAUUCAUAACUUAAACUCUAUAACUCCAAAAUUAAUAAUUCCUAUUCCUGUGAUCUUAUUUCAAUAUGUAUAUUAUUAAUAUGUAUUUUGCAUAUAUGUUUGGUGUGAUGUUAAAUUUUGCCUAUACACUGUUUGUUUGUAUUGCUACGACUAGCGCGAGGUUACGAGUCAUCUGAAGAGCAAGUUGGUACCUGGAAUCUCAAGUGCCUGGCAAGUUGUGCCCUUGACCACUUUUUACCCAAUAAUGUUCUUUAAUAUCAUUUAUUCAUGCAUAGGUUAAUUUUGAUGGGACCCAAUAGGUUACCCUAGAUUGUUUAUCUCAAUACCUUGUUUACCCCUGAAUCACUUAGGUAGUUUGCUAUUGCUUUACAUAGAUUUGGGAUAAUUAUUUAUCAUAUCUAUGUUCCAGUUAUUUUGUUAUUCUAUUUAUGUUCAUGUCAAGAUCAUUAAUGUUAAUUGGAACAUAGAGCUUAACUUGAGAAACACGUGCCACCACAAGGGUUUAUGGACGCCCUUGGCUGAUUAAUUAGGAAAGCUAGUGGAGGACUACCUUACCCGAAAGGGGCAAGGGCAGUAGGGGAGUGGUCAGUGUAGGGAGGUCCUUGGUUUAUUUUGCUGCGAUGGCGGUCAGGCAAGAACCCUGCAUUGGAGCUUCCUAUAAACUGUAGCGGGUUUUCUGAAGCUAGUGGAACUUUGUAAAGGCCUCGUAGUGUUACCCUACCUCGCCUCCUCGGUAGAGGUGUAUGGGAAGUCGCGAUCCCUUGGCAGAUGGGUAACAUGACUUGUGGGUAAAGGGUACCACCUCUGCAGAGUGUAAAACUGGUAUACUAGCCGAGCUCACGGUCAUGAGCAGCUCAGGACUCUCUGAUGAUUAACUUAUGGAACUAAAUUCAAUUUGUCAUAUGCAUUGCAUCGCAGGUGAUGUUGUUACUUUUGUUCUACUACUUAAUUGGGUUGGUAUUUACUUAUACUUAGUAAUUGCUAAUAAAAUUUUGACCAACUUUAAAAGCAAUGCUCAGCUCUAACCAUCCUCUUUGGAAAGCCUUACACUUCACGUGAGCUCCCACCUUUGGCGAGUUCAUGCACAUUAUUCCCCACAACUUGUUGAGCGAUGGACGUAUGUGAGCUCACUCUUGCUGUCUCACACCCCCCACAGGUCAAGAACAGGUACCGCAGGAUGAGGCGCAAGGAGGAUGCUGCAAUGAGUUCGUGAGAGAUCUAGGCCGUCAUCUCCCAGUCAACUUUGGGUUGCUGGACCGUUGUCUCCUUAUAAUGUAAUUAUUUAUUUUGUACAGAACUCCUAUUAUGUAGUAAAGAUGUGACAUUCGAUCCUGUGCCAUGAUUCAUCAUAUGUGUGAGACUUGGUCCCAGCACACCUGGUGAUUAUGUUCGCGCCCGGGUUUUGGACCCCUGAAAUCCGGGUGUGACAGAAGUGGUAUCAGAGGAAUGUUGACUGUAGGACGAAACCUAGACAGAACUGGACAACCAUUACUUAUCUCUGCUGCUCUGAUUCUUUCUAAACUUUCCUUAAUCUUUUCUUAUCUAUUUCCGCUUUACUCUGAUUAUUCUUACCUUUUUCCUUCUAAAGACAAAUGUGGAUUACACACUUUGAAAUCCUGUGCCUAAAGUGACUUUAGGACUAGGAGACCUACUCUUAGGAGCAAAAACAAAACUAUUUUUAUAGGUAUCUAUACGCUUGAAUGUUUGUUCCUGUGAUACAUGUCUGAUUUGGAUUUUUGAUUGAGUGUGAUGAGUUGUGGAGUAAUGUCCACAAUUGCAUCUGCAUAUACAUCUAGGGUUAAAGAAGAAUAUUUAUAAAAUAACUAAUCAACCUAGAUUAUCCUUCAUUAAAGAUCCAUCUCAUCCUAAUAGAUCUGUCUUACCUUAGAAAAUUCACUCUUACCUUAAUGGAUUCAUCUUAUCUUGAUGGAAUUCAUCUUAUCCUAACCACUUUACUUACCCCAUCUUAAUAGAUCUAACUGACCUCAAAAGAUUCUACCUUAUCCUUAUGGAUUCAUCUUGCCCUAAUUAGCUUAUUGAUCCCACUCUAGAAUAACAACCAUGAUCUAAUCCAAAUUUGAGUUACUUAAAUAAGUUAGAUAAUGUUGGCGACAAAAAUUAGGCCCUAAUUCUAUAAACAUACCUUACCCUAAAUUAAUACCUUAGACUAACUCGUCCGUAAACAACAACCUAACCUACAUCAUAGGUUGCCUAACCCAUUUGUUCAAAAAGCAAAGUAAAACUCUGCUCAAACCUACCUACCUCGUGUUUUCUGGCUAUCCUAACUAUAUGUCCUUAACUCGGAUGUCAACUCCAAGAACAAAGGCCAAAGAAGACCAACCACGUCAAAGAAGGAUAAACAUCAACUCAAGACUUCAAAGAUCAAGUUGAAUCGCCAGUGGAAUCAAGAUCCACAGUUCAGGAUGAAGUCUUCCAUUAUUAUACUCUUCCUUGCCAUCACAUUUACUUGCCAUAAAUGUAUCUCAUCUUACCUAAUAGAUGACUAACAUACUACAUCCAAAAUUUCCUAAUCAUCUCCUAACUAGUAUUUAAGAGCUUGGAACAAAACUUUUGGUUCCUAAACCAUAUGGGAAACUAAAUUCUAAACCAAACAUGUUGCAUCCCUUUCCUUACAAAUCUCGAGGACGAGAUUAUUUUUAAGGGGGGUAGGAUUUGUAAUACUCAAAAUUGUAUACCAAAAAUAAUAGAGAGAUCUCCACAUUUUACGUGUCCUAAUUGCAUCAUAAAAAGAGCAUACAUAAAGUUAAGAGUGAUUAAUUAAAAUAAAUGACACUAAAAUAAAAGAAAGUGCAUCUUGUUGGAUUUUUAUAUGUCUGUGCAUUAAAUAGAAUAAUAAGGAUAACAACAAUGAGAUAACAAUUCUAGAAGUUGGAUUAAACCCUAAAUUGAAAUUUGGGUUUGAAAAUAAGAAAAGAGAAAUGAUAUAAAUAUAAAUGAUAUAAUUAUACACCUAAAAUUGGUAUUCUUAAUUU